AGGGGUAUGGUGAAAUGGUAUCAUGACGCUCUCCAAAAGCGUUGUUCUGGGUUCGAAUCCUAGUACCCCUG
rnacentral:tRNA from 1 species